rnacentral:rRNA from 1 species
CAGCCGCCACGGUAGUACGAAGGGUGCAAGCGUUAAUCGGAAUUACUGGGCGUAAAGCGUGCGUAGGCGGUGAGUUAAGUCUGCUGUGAAAUCCCCGGGCUCAACCUGGGAAUGGCAGUGGAUACUGGCUCGCUAGAGUGUGUCAGAGGAUGGUGGAAUUCCCGGUGUAGCGGUGAAAUGCGUAGAGAUCGGGAGGAACAUCAGUGGCGAAGGCGGCCAUCUGGGACAACACUGACGCUGAGGCACGAAAGCGUGGGGAGCAAACAGGAUUAGAUACCCCCGUAGUCCCUGUCUCUUAUAA